rnacentral:rRNA from 1 species
UACGGAGGAUGCGAGCGUUAUCCGGAUUUAUAGGGUUUAAAGGGUGCGUAGGCGGGCUUUUAAGUCAGCGGUAAAAAUUCGGGGCUCAACCCCGUCCGGCCGUUGAAACUGGGGGCCUUGAGUGGGCGAGAAGAAGGCGGAAUGCGUGGUGUAGCGGUGAAAUGCAUAGAUAUCACGCAGAACCCCGAUUGCGAAGGCAGCCUUCCGGCGCCCUACUGACGCUGAGGCACGAAAGUGCGGGGAUCGAACAGG